rnacentral:ncRNA from 2 species
UUCUUAUCCAGAGAGGCGGAGGGAAUUGACCCUGUGAAGCCUCGGCAACAGACUCCCCUAUGAGCACUGUGCCAACUUCAACAAGCUGCUGGCUUGAAAGAUAAGAA